AUUCCCUGAAUGACUAUAAACCACCCAUUUCUAAAGCGAAAAUGACCCAGAUUACAAAAGCGGCCAUCAAAGCUAUUAAGUUUUAUAAACAUGUGGUCCAAAGUGUUGAGAAAUUCAUUCAGAAAUGCAAGCCAGAAUAUAAGGUACCAGGACUCUAUGUUAUCGACUCCAUUGUGCGACAGUCCCGACAUCAGUUUGGUCAAGAAAAGGAUGUGUUUGCACCCAGAUUUAGUAAUAACAUCAUUAGCACUUUCCAGAAUUUAUAUCGUUGCCCUGGGGAUGACAAGAGUAAAAUAGUGAGAGUAUUAAACUUGUGGCAGAAGAACAAUGUAUUUAAGAGUGAGAUCAUUCAGCCCCUUUUGGACAUGGCAGCUGGGAUUCCUCCCCCAGUUGUCACACCUGUGUUGGCCGGUACUGCAGCCAUGAGCAACACUCCAGGAACUCCUGUGACACCUGUUACUCCGGCCAAUGUGGUACAGGGCCUGCCUGACCCUUGGGUAUCUCAGAUCGCAAAUACAGAUACACUUGCAGCUGUCGCUCAGAUCUUACAAAGUCCUCAAGGCCAGCAGCUUCAGCAGUUAAUACAGACCUUACAGAUACAGCAGCAGAAACCUCAGCCCUCCAUCCUGCAGGCAUUGGAUGCGGGACUUGUGGUUCAGUUGCAGGCCCUCACUGCACAGCUCACAGCUGCAGCUGCAGCGGCCAGCACUCUGACCCCGUUGGAUCAAGGAGUCUCUUUUAAUAAGAAGUUGAUGGAUAGAUUUGAUUUUGGGGAAGACUCUGAGCAUAGCGAAGAACCCAAAAAGGAUAUCCCAACUCCUCAACUUUCUCACGUUUCAGAGUCUGUGAACAAUUCCAUUUUUCAUCAGAUUGCAGAGCAGCUGCAACAGCAAAACAUUGAACAUCUCAGACAGCAGCUCCUGGAGCAGCAGCCUCAGAAGGCAACUCCCCAGGAUAGUCAAGAAGGAACAUUUGGGUCAGAGCAUUCAGCAUCACCAUCACAAGGAAGCAGCCAGCAACAUUUCCUUGAACCUGAAGCAAAUUUGGAUGAUUCCAUAGAUAUUCAGCAGCAGGAUAUGGAUAUAGAUGAAGGGCAAGAUGCAGUGGAAGAGGAGAUCUUUGAACAAGAAGCUAAGAAAGUAGCCGUUCGCUCAAGAUCAAGAACUCACUCGAGAUCUCGCUCAAGAUCACCAAGAAAACGAAGGUCCAGGUCACGAUCUGGUUCUCGAAAGCGUAAGCACAGAAAACGAUCACGCUCCCGCUCCAGAGAAAGGAAGAGGAAGUCAUCACGUUCCUACUCAAGUGAAAGGAGAGCCAGAGAAAGAGAAAAAGAACGGCAGAAAAAGGGAUUACCUCCAAUUAGAUCUAAAACAUUAAGUGUAUGUAGUACUACUCUCUGGGUUGGUCAGGUGGACAAGAAGGCAACACAACAAGAUUUAACCAACCUUUUUGAAGAGUUUGGACAAAUUGAAUCUAUUAAUAUGAUUCCUCCCAGGGGCUGUGCUUACGUCUGUAUGGUUCAUCGGCAAGAUGCUUUUCGAGCUCUUCAGAAACUGAGUUCAGGGUCCUAUAAAAUUGGUUCCAAGGUCAUUAAGAUUGCUUGGGCUCUAAACAAAGGUGUAAAAACUGAAUACAAACAGUUUUGGGAUGUAGAUCUUGGAGUUACAUAUAUACCAUGGGAAAAAGUUAAAGUGGAUGACUUGGACGGUUUUGCAGAAGGAGGCAUGAUUGAUCAGGAAACUGUAAAUACUGAGUGGGAAACGGUGAAAAGUUCAGAACCAGUUAAAGAGACUGUCCAGACCACACAGAGUCCAACUCCAGUUGAAAAGGAGACUGUGGUCACAACGCAGGCAGAGGUUUUCCCUCCACCGGUUGCCAUGUUGCAGAUUCCAGUAGCACCUGCAGUGCCGACAGUUAGUUUAGUCCCACCAACGUUUCCUGUGUCAAUGCCUGUGCCCCCUCCUGGAUUCAGUCCUAUCCCUCCGCCUCCUUUUCUGCGAGCAAGCUUUAACCCUUCACAGCCACCUCCUGGUUUCAUGCCACCUCCAGUCCCUCCACCUGUGGUACCACCCCCUGCGAUCCCUCCAGUAGUACCAACAUCUUUAGUGCAACCGCCAUUGUCCAUGGCCCCAGAAACUGUGAAAGAUGUUGGCUUUGGUAGCCUUGUUCUGCCAGGUGGUUCUGUUGCCGGCAGUCUAGCUCCUUCCGCUCUACCAGCUGGAAAUGUUUUUAAUCCUCCAACUAAACAAGCAGAGCCUGAAGACAAAGUACCUCAUCUUAUAGAACAUCAGAUUUCCUCUGGUGAAAACACCAGACCAGCGAUUCCAAAUGAUAUUCCAACUAAUGCUGCGAUUUUAGGAGGACAGCCACCUAAUGUGACGAGUAAUUCUGGAAUUCUGGGAGCCCAAAGACCAAAUGUACCAAGUAAUUCUGAAAUUCUUGGGGUUCGGCCAGCAAAUGUUUCCAGCAGUUCUGGGAUUAUUGGAGCACAACCACCACAUAUCUUAAAUCAUUCUGGAAUUUUGGGAAUACAGCCACCAAAUGUGUCAAGUAGUUCUGGACUUCUGGGUGUGCUGCCUCCUGGUCUGCCUAACAGUUCUGGACUUGGAGGAAUACAGCCACCAAGUGUCACAAAUACUUCCGGACUUUUGGGAACGCAGCCACCAGCUGGACCUCAAAACUUGCCCCCUCUGAAUAUCCCUAGUCAAAGGAUGCCUGCAUUGCCAAUGUUGGACAUUCGUCCAGGACUAAUACCACAGGCACCUGGACCAAGAUUCCCUUUAAUUCAGCCUGGAAUUCCGCCCCAGCGGGGUAUCCCUCCCCCAGUGGUCCUGGACUCAGCUCUUCACCCACCGCCCCGGGGACCUUUUCCUCCAGGAGAUAUUUUCAGUCAUCCAGAAAGACCUUUUCUAGCGCCUGGAAGACAAAACGUAGACCACGUUACCAAUCCAGACAAAAGAAUUCCACUUGGGAAUGACAGUGUUCAACAAGAAGGAGAUCGAGAUUACCGGUUUCCUCCGGUAGAAAGCAGGGAAGGCAUUAGUAGGCCUCCUGCAAUGGAUGUUAGGGAUGUGGUUGGACGGCCUAUAGAUCCAAGAGAAGGUCCUGGAAGGCCUCCAGUAGAUGGUAGGGAUCAUUUUGGACGACCUCCUAUAGACAUAAGGGAGAAUCUUGUAAGACCAGGUAUAGAUCACCUUGGUCGAAGAGACCACUUUGCUUUUACUCCAGAGAAGCCUUGGGGGCAGAGAGGAGAUUUUGACGAGAGAGAGCAUCGGGUUCUCCCUGUUUUUAGUGGUCCAAAAGGCUUACAUGAAGAAAGGGGAAGGUUUCGGGCUGGAACCUUUCGCUUUGAUCCUAGAAGUGGUCCUUGGAACCGAGGAUUUGGACAAGAAGUUCACAGAGAUUUUGAUGACCGCAGAAGACCCUGGGAAAGGCAAAGGGAUAGGGACGACAGAGAUUUUGAUUUCUGCAGAGAAAUGAACGGAAAUCGUCUUGGACGUGAUAGAAUUCAAAACACUUGGGUCCCCCCUCCUCAUGCUCGGGUUUUUGAUUAUUUUGAAGGGGCCACUUCCCAACGUAAAGUUGAUAACGUGCCUCAGGUUAAUGGUGAAAAUACAGAGAGACAUGCUCAGCCACCGCCUUUGCCAGUUCCAGUACAGAACGAUCCUGAACUUUAUGAAAAACUGACAUCUUCAAAUGAGAUAAACAAGGAGAAGAGUGACACAGUUGCUGAUGUAGAAAGUGAACCAGUGGUGGUAGAAAGCACAGAAACUGAGGGGACAUAAUCAUCACUCAGUAGAAUGAUGGCAAUUAGGAAUACUUAAAGAAGAACCCAGCUACUUACUCCAGUAAUUGGGGGUGCUGCAGCCAGCAACUACAUGAGGCACUGAGUCACAUGGAGAUGGAGAACUUCAAGUGGAGAGGAGAAAUGCAUAGUUACCUGCCCAGAAUUCAUUUUCCCAAAGCCUCCAUACACUUGGACAGAAUGACUUCGAAGAUCAGGGGAGCUUCUAAGCGUCUGGGGAAAUGGGAAGCCUCUCAUCUUUAGUGGUCUGUUUGAAGUUGAAGGUCCUUGACACGUACCGUGAAGUGAAUCGCACAAGCUCCCAGCCAACAGCAUGAUCCAAGAAAUCUUCAAAAAGGAAAGAUUCAGACUUCCUUUGAAAGACUGUCCUCUGUAUAACUCAACGUCUCCAAAACGAGCCUGACCCAAUGGCAGAGCUACCUAUGUUGUGUGGCUGACCUGGCUGGAGUCAGUAUAGUCUGCCUGCUUCCUGGAUCUGGGCACUGGGAAGGAGUGCUGUGUGUUCCCCUGUUUGUGUUCUGGGACACUGAAUCAUAGAAUGCACUUAGACCUCUUGUGGGGUCCCAGUGUCUGCAGACAGGCCGGGAACAUGUACAUGAGCGGCUAGGAUUUCGUCUGGGGUUGCCGUCAGGUGAAUGUGUGCUUGAUGGCCCUUCUAGCUGGUGGAACUCAAGCCGAGGCAGCGUUUACAUGGCAGGAAGACUCUUCUUUGGAUGCUAGGGGGAAAAGAAAAAAAAAAACAGAAAGAGGAAAAAUGCUACCACUCAAAACAAUCUUCUAUACUUGCAAGACAGGAUGGUAAAGUAUCUUUUAAGAUAGAAUUCAGCAGAAGGACAACUUGUUCUACUCCCAGAGUAGAUCCAGGCACUUUAAAGAAUCGCCUUUCCCACUGGGCUUGUUGCUGAGCUUUGCCGGUCGGGAACAGUUAUUGCUGGGAGACAGUUUUGUUUUCUGGUGGCUGUGAUGGUUGCAGGCAGGCUUCUGCUGAGCAGGCAGUUUCUCCAGAGCUUCCAGAGGCAUUAGCCUGUCCUGGAACCAAGCCUGCCUUCCAGGUGCUUUUGUGAUGAGACACCUCCUGUGUAUACUUUCCCCACACCCUAUAGGGUGAAUUUCAACAGGUCCAACUGACAUGACACCACACUGACAUCUGUGCUGUUUAGUGGGCCUCAGCUGCUCUCUGUCUAAUACGGUCUGGUUCUCAGCCUCAGGGGAAAGAGAAGGCUCACCAGUGAGAGCUUUAUCUUAGCCCUAGGGAUUGGUGGCUGUAGCUUAAAACCUCCCAUCUGCCAUUCCUGUUUUCUCUGGAUUUCUGUCUACCUCUUACUAGCCAACCCCUCAUUAUUCCAAAUGCCGUUACAGUAAAUUAUUCUUUACAUUAAACUUGCACUGUGUGAGUUA